rnacentral:rRNA from 1 species
GAUGAACGCUGGCGGCGUGCCUAAUACAUGCAAGUCGAGCGAACGGACGAGAAGCUUGCUUCUCUGAUGUUAGCGGCGGACGGGUGAGUAACACGUGGAUAACCUACCUAUAAGACUGGGAUAACUUCGGGAAACGGGAGCUAAUACCGGAUGAUAUUUUGAACCGCAUGGUUCAAAAGUGAAAGACGGUCUUGCUGUCACUUAUAGAUGGAUCCGCGCUUCAUUGGCUAGUUGGUAGGGUAACGGCUUACCAAGGCAACGAUGCAUAGCCGACCUGAGAGGGGGUACGGCCACACUGGAACUGGAAACGGGCCAAAACCCCUACGGGAGGCGCCAGUAGGGAAUCUUCCGAAUGGGGCGAAAGCCUGACGGAGCAAGGCGGCGUGGGGGAUGAAGGUCUUCGGAUCGUAAAACUCUUUGAUUAGGGAAGAACAUAUGUGUAAGUAACUGUGCACAUCGUGACGGUACCUAAUCAGAAAGCCACGGCUAACUACGUG